UGGGAAUUUAAGUCGGAUUGUAAUAAUUGAAUCAAUGUAAUAAGCAACGACUCGAGAGCCGUAUCAUUUACUACUUUUUCUACAAAGGGUUGGAGUUAAAUGCAGCAUUGUUGUUAUCUAGGAUACAAGCUUCCUUUAUGACAAAAUUUAUGGCCGAGUUUAUUAUUUUCCAUUAUAUAGAGAUGUAAAUGUUCUGCAGGACAAUUAAUUCACUUAUG
rnacentral:lncRNA from 1 species